CGCUUGGUAAGGUUCUGGAAGAUGUCACAGUUGUCCUGGUGUAAGAGCUUGAAGCCCACAGCCAGGUGGUGAUUCUCUAGGACCGACUCGUCAUUGUACAUCAGAGCCAGCUCGGAGUCUGGGCACAAGGAGGCAAGUGGUGGUCGACAUCGUGGAUAGCGGCAGCAAAGAGGGCGGCUAAGAUCUCGAGAUCGGUGAAGACAGCCUAAGGACAAAGAGAGAACAAGAAGCUUCCAAGAGCAUUUAAGUGACACUUUUCUCCCCACUAAGCGGACAAUGACUGAAUGUACUGAACAAACGGGCGGCGAGACCUUGGCGAGCUCAUCCUCGUGGUCCGUGUUAACCCCGAAGCGAGGCAUGGAGGAGCUGGAGAGGCUGGAGCUGUGGGACAGCUUCCGCACGCCGCUGAUAUGACUCAUCGGCUUGUCCUUCAGCGUCGGAGAUGGGAUGUCCACUUCGUCCUGCUUGUCUACAGAUUGACACAAUCAGUGACUCAUGGCUCGUAUUGGGAUGCAACGUGGCAGGAUUGGUGCUGCACUCACCCAGGAAGGUGCUGGAGAUGUACUCCGACACCUGGUUGCCUGAGCGACUCAUCUCGGACAGGUCAAGCAAGGCCCGGCUCCUACCUUGUUGGAGGCCAUCUCGCUGACCGAGCGGUGCGUCUGGAUGGUUUCCAGCUGGUCCAAACACCAGUCCAGUUCUUCCAGCGUGUCCAAGGCGAGCUGUUGAUGCUGUUGGUCCGACAGCUUGGCUCUGGGACUGACACACACGCCACUCAGCGGUGACCUCCUGAGUUCACAGAAAAAAGGAGUGUGUGACUGCUAUGUUGGCUCACUACCUGGAGACUGGAUGACAGUCUCCUGCUCCUGCCCCUGCGUAGCUCCGCCCCCAGCGUGGCCCCGGACGUGUAAGAUCGGCUGUAGCGCGGUGACUCUGCCUUCUCCCCGGCAACCGCUAUGUCCGUGUCAUCGCCCUGU